rnacentral:rRNA from 1 species
UAGGGAAUCUUCGGCAAUGGGGGGAACCCUGACCGAGCAACGCCGCGUGAGUGAAGAAGGUUUUCUGAUCGUAAAGCUCUGUUGUUAAGGAAGAACGAGUGUGAGAAUGGAAAGUUCAUACUGUGACGGUACUUAACCAGAAAGGGACGGCUAACUACGUGCCAGCAGCCGCGGUAAUACGUAGGUCCCGAGCGUUGUCCGGAUUUAUUGGGCGUAAAGCGAGCGCAGGCGGUUAGAUAAGUCUGAAGUUAAAGGCAGUGGCUCAACCAUUGUAGGCUUUGGAAACUGGUUAACUUGAGUGCAGAAGGGGAGAGUGGAAUUCCAUGUGUAGCGGUGAAAUGCGUAGAUAUAUGGAGGAACACCGGUGGCGAAAGCGGCUCUCUGGUCUGUAACUGACGCUGAGGCUCGAAAGCGUGGGGAGCGAACAGG